rnacentral:lncRNA from 1 species
GUGAGGAGCCAAGUGCAAAGUUGGUUGAAGACAUGACGUCAAUGAUUGGGCACACGACACGAUAGAAAGACAAGAUAACAGCCAAGCUGUCAUGUGGCGAUGCAUGGUCGUGGGGACCAAAGGACGGUGUGUGACUGAGAGAAGAAAGGGACUAGAGGACACAAAUUCAGGUUGUUGGUGGAGAUGAAAGACAUGACGACGAUAGGAAACAAUGGCGGUGGAGGCAUGAGAUGGUGCAUAAAAGAGAAGGGGCACAUGACCAACAAACACAAGAAGAUGUGGGCACAACGAAGGUUCCAAGAACUAUGCUUGCUCUGUUUUGCACGUUGUUGGCGACUAGGACGAAUAAUAGCAUAGCUCAAUCAUUGUAAGAGGAGGUCGUGCAUAAAGAAGAGAAGAACUACGUAAGGAGAUAAAGCAUGAUGAGAAAUACUAGUGAGAUCACGUAAAAAAGAAAUAUAAUUUAAAUGUGUGAAUUAUUAAUCAUUAGAGAUAAGUAUAUACAUAACAGUAUGAU